CUUGUUAGAAAAGUGAGAACAUGUAUUGCACAAGACAGAGUUUUGUUCAUCGUUUGAGAUUUCUUUGGGAUGCAUAUGGAUUGCAUGUGUGGAGUGUGACCAUGUUUUGGCACACAUGUGAGAACUGGUAUAGGGGGAAUCUCCUCAACCACCACCAGUGUGCAGCAUCCACUUGGAUGAUGCAACAGCAGCCAUAGUGCACCAGAACACCCACCAGCUAUUGAUGGAGAGGAGAGUAGAGUGAUGUAGCCAAUUCAGGGAUGGGGAUUAUUA